rnacentral:sRNA from 1 species
AACUCCACCGGGUCGAUGGCGCGGGUGACGACCAGGUAGUCGCGCAGCGCGAUGCCGUGCCGGUUCUC